UACAGAGGGGGCAAGCGUUGUUCGGAAUUACUGGGCGUAAAGGGCGCGUAGGCGGCCAUCUAAGUCAGACGUGAAAUCCCCCGGCUUAACCUGGGAACUGCGUCUGAUACUGGACGGCUGGAGUUUGGGAGAGGGAUGUAGAAUUCCAGGUGUAGCGGUGAAAUGCGUAGAUAUCUGGAGGAAUACCGGUGGCGAAGGCGGCAUCCUGGACCAAUACUGACGCUGAGGCGCGAAAGCGUGGGGAGCGAACAGG
rnacentral:rRNA from 1 species